rnacentral:piRNA from 1 species
UAGGAAGUCUGAAAUGAUGAGGUACAUAG